rnacentral:rRNA from 1 species
UAAGGAAUAUUGGUCAAUGGACGGAAGUCUGAACCAGCCAUGCCGCGUGCAGGAAGACGGCCCUACGGGUUGUAAACUGCUUUUGCAGGGGAAUAAACCUCAUUACGUGUAAUGAGCUGAAUGUACUCUGAGAAUAAGGAUCGGCUAACUCCGUGCCAGCAGCCGCGGUAAUACGGAGGAUCCAAGCGUUAUCCGGAUUUAUUGGGUUUAAAGGGUGCGUAGGUGGCCUGUUAAGUCAGGGGUGAAAGACGGUAGCUUAACUAUCGCAGUGCCCUUGAUACUGAUGGGCUUGAAUGAACUAGAGGUAGGCGGAAUGUGACAAGUAGCGGUGAAAUGCAUAGAUAUGUCACAGAACACCAAUUGCGAAGGCAGCUUACUAUGGUUUUAUUGACACUGAGGCACGAAAGCGUGGGGAUCAAACA